rnacentral:rRNA from 1 species
UACGUAGGUGGCGAGCGUUAUCCGGAAUGAUUGGGUGUAAAGGGUGCGUAGGUGGUUUCUUAAGUCAGAGGUGAAAGGCUACGGCUCAACCGUAGUAAGCCUUUGAAACUGGGGAACUUGAGUGCAGGAGAGGAGAGUGGAAUUCCUAGUGUAGCGGUGAAAUGCGUAGAUAUUAGGAGGAACACCAGUUGCGAAGGCGGCUCUCUGGACUGUAACUGACACUGAGGCACGAAAGCGUGGGGAGCAAAUAGG